UGGGAUUCGCAGCUCCAGACAGUGGAGGACUACGAGUUGCGGAUUCUUGCCGAGUAAGCAGCCUCUCUCUGCAGGCUGCUGCAACAAAGCGGAAAGUUUGGCACGAAGCCAGUGGCAGGCAGCCUUUAGAAUUAGCUCAUUGUUCGAUCUGUACAUUGCAGGCUUUCAAACCCUAGAACUACAGACAAGAGGAGAAGAAAAUACGAUUGGGCUCCUUUUUACUAAAUGGCAGUAAUUGCACUCUCACCAAUUUGACCUCAGGAAAUUGUGAUUUCUAUCUUUUUUGCAGCCCCGCUCUUCGUUGCUCCAUCUGUACAUGCACAGAGACAAGGAAAGUGACAGAGAGCAACAGCGUUUGUCUAUUGGGGCACUUAUUGGACAGCACUGCUGAAGAAUACGAGAAUGGAUAAUGAGUCAGAAACAGCAGCUCAUAUAAGGGAUGGAUUGCCAGAAGCUAGCCACAGGAAUGGUGAUCUGCAAAUCCAAGUGGAAACUGAAGACAUGAACAAUAGGACCAAAGUUACAUUCCUAUCUCCAGCAAAUAGACUACAUAAUUUCCUCACAGUUUACCACCUAUUUUUUACUUAGUUAUGAAUUUUUCCAUUCAUUUUGAGUUUUUUAUAUGUGUGUGAUGAUGAGUUCAGCGCUUCAGUUAUUGAGGUUCUUGUAUGUAAAUCAUUAAUGUUUAGGAAUGUAUGGGACUCUAAGCCUUAAUGACUAGUACAGUGUACAAAAAGGAAAAAAGACUAAAAACAAAAUUCAGCAGUAUGAUCAAAGUGAAAUGCUCACAACUGCGCACUGUAAAUCCAUGUUUACAAGCACUACAGGGUGGGCCCUCAGGCCAUUUUUUGUACUGUGGCAGUGUCUUCCAUGUCUGUACAAGAGCACUGCUAUCAGUAAGCUUCCAUCUGUCUAGAGUCGCAACUCACAUCUGCUUAAUACAGUAACGUUUGCUGAGGCUGAGAGUCCCCCUUUUCAUUUAGAUGUAGCAAGCUUAGUCGCUUUUUUAAUUUCUGAUAAAUUGCCAGCAUAGCUCUAUAUUUUAGACAUGUACACUUUUAAAUGUAUAGAAGUAGUUGUUUGAAAUGCAUUGUUUCCUGGUGGUAGGUGACAAGAGAUGCUGCCACGGGAUAUGAGACACUGAUGAAUGGUGCUAUUUUGGACUUUUAACAUGCUUCUUGGCGAGGAAGCUCUGAUGGAGUAAUUUUAUUUCCACAUUCUAAGAAGGUGUUGGUUCUUUAUUUUCUGGCUGUUGUGACUUGGACUGAACUGACUUGUUUUUCCUUGUGUAUUUAGUGUGGCUUUCUGAAUUCAGUGCUGCAACACAAACAGCUGAUCCAGGGGUAUUGGGCACUACAGUGUAAUUUGGCUUGGUUUAUGCCAGUACAGCAGUUAAUGUGGGGCAAUUACAAAACUGUAACUUAAGUAAUCUCAUUAUGAUUGGCUGUACCUCCUAUUCAUAAUGU